rnacentral:rRNA from 1 species
AACAGGCUUAUCUCCCCCAAGAGUCCACAUCGACGGGGAGGUUUGGCACCUCGAUGUCGGCUCAUCACAUCCUGGGGCUGUAGUAGGUCCCAAGGGUUGGGCUGUUCGCCCAUUAAAGUGGUACGCGAGCUGGGUUCAGAACGUCGUGAGACAGUUCGGUCCCUAUCCGUCGCAGGCGUAGGAAAUUUGAGAAGACCUGUCCUUAGUACGAGAGGACCGGGAUGGACGUACCUCUGGUGUACCAGUUGUCCUGCCAAGGGCAUGGCUGGGUAGCUAUGUACGGAAUGGAUAAGCGCUGAAAGCAUCUAAGCGCGAAGCCAACUUCAAGAUAAGAUUUCCCACCGCAAGGGUAAGACCCCAGAAAGACUAUCUGGUUGAUAGGUCGAAGGUGUAAGUUCAGCAAUGUAUUUAGCUUAUCGAUACUAAUAGGUCGAGGACUUGACCAAU